UAGGGCCUAUGUGUUGUAGUUGUCAGUACUACAUUCAUUUACCCACUACCCUCUUAUAACGUGUGAAAUAACCUAAUAGUUAUCAUAAUGUUAUACCAUGGAUUCCUCCUAUUUCCUUUGUGUGUCCACUUGAAAUUGUGAACAAAGCUGGUUACUGGGGCAGUAAUGCAAACAUGUGUGCUUUCGUUUAGAAGACUCACUCUUUUGUCCCUCACAAUGUCUUCUAACUAUGCAGAACAUGAUGUGGCAUAAUGGGUGGGUGGGUGCAUAUUAGUGCAUUGGGUAUUUCUGAAUCUCAUUGAGUGUUGUUGUCUUCACAGGCCACCACAAUAAGUGUACACGUUCAGACAUAUGGUUCAUGGAUGCUGCCUGCCAGACAGACUGCAUUGCCACCUGGACUACAGCCACAUCACUUAUCCUUGAAGACAUUGCUGCCCCAGCCAUGGAGUAAAUAUGGCUCUCCUCUACAAUGAAAAUUCAAACGAACAACCGGCCCUAUGACUACCUGCAGGAGGUGUACCUUUCUUCAAAAUUGCCAAGACCAAGAAGGGAUAGUGCAUCAACCAUCAAAAGAUUAAGCCAACCUUUUGGUUAUGUUCAUGUUCGUGGAACUCAUUCUGGACAAGGUCUUUGGGAACCCUGCAAAGCAGACUGAGGCAAUGUUGGCGUUGGUGCAGUUC